rnacentral:tRNA from 1 species
GGCCUCGUAGCUCAGCUGGUAGAGCGUGCGCUGUACAAAAGCGUAGGUGGCGUCCAUGCGUUGGUUCCAGUCCCAUUGAGGCUA